GGGCGCAGCCUGAUCCAGCAAUGCCGCGUGCAGGAUGAAGGCCUUCGGGUUGUAAACUGCUUUUGUACGGAACGAAAAGUCUUGGGUUAAUACCCUGGGAUCAUGACGGUACCGGAAGAAUAAGCACCGGCUAACUACGUGCCAGCAGCCGCGGUAAUACGUAGGGUGCAAGCGUUAAUCGGAAUUACUGGGCGUAAAGCGUGCGCAGGCGGUUUUGUAAGACAGUGGUGAAAUCCCCGGGCUCAACCUGGGAACUGCCAUUGUGACUGCAAGGCUGGAGUUUGGCAGAGGGA
rnacentral:rRNA from 1 species